GUUGAACGCUGGCGGCAUGCUUUACACAUGCAAGUCGAACGGUAACAGGGUGCUUGCACCGCUGACGAGUGGCGAACGGGUGAGUAAUGCGUCGGAACGUGCCGAGUAGUGGGGGAUAACGCAGCGAAAGUUGUGCUAAUACCGCAUACGUACUGAGGUAGAAAGUGGGGGACCUUCGGGCCUCACGCUAUUCGAGCGGCCGACGUCUGAUUAGCUAGUAGGUGAGGUAAAGGCUCACCUAGGCGACGAUCAGUAGCGGGUCUGAGAGGAUGAUCCGCCACACUGGGACUGAGACACGGCCCAGACUCCUACGGGAGGCAGCAGUGGGGAAUUUUGGACAAUGGGCGAAAGCCUGAUCCAGCCAUGCCGCGUGUCUGAAGAAGGCCUUCGGGUUGUAAAGGACUUUUGUCAGGGAGGAAAUCCCUAGUGCUAAUAACACUGGGGGAUGACAGUACCUGAAGAAUAAGCACCAGCUAACUACGUGCCAGCAGCCGCGGUAA
rnacentral:rRNA from 1 species